UACAGAGGUCCCAAGCGUUGUUCGGAUUCAUUGGGCGUAAAGGGUGCGUAGGCGGCGCGGUAAGUCGGGUGUGAAAUCUCGGAGCUUAACUCCGAAACUGCAUUCGAUACUGCCGUGCUUGAGGACUGGAGAGGAGAGUGGAAUUCCUGGUGUAGCGGUGAAAUGCGCAGAUAUCAGGAAGAACACCUAUGGCGAAGGCAGCUCUCUGGGACGGUACUGACGCUGAGACGCGAAAGCGUGGGGAGCGAACAGG
rnacentral:rRNA from 1 species